rnacentral:sRNA from 1 species
GCCGGGUGCAGUGGCUCACACCUGUAAUCCCAGCACUUUGGGAGGCUGAGGUGGGUGGAUCACCUGAGGUCAGGAGUUCGAGACCAGCCUGGCCAACAUGGUGAAACCCCAUCUCUA